rnacentral:rRNA from 1 species
AUUGAACGCUGGCGGCAGGCCUAACACAUGCAAGUCGAGCGAGCGGCGGACGGGUGAGUAAUGUAUGGGGACUGCCCGAUAGAGGGGGGUAACUACUGGAAACGGUGGCUUAUACCCCCUUCUGCCGGAUAACCCAUAUGGGAUUAGCUAGUAGGUAAGGUAAUGGCUUACCAAGGCGACGAUCCCUAGCUGGUCUGAGAGGAUGAUCAGCCACACUGGGACUGAGACACGGCCCAGACUCCUACGGAGGCAGCAGUAGGGAAUAUUGCACAAUGGGCGCAAGCCUGAUGCAGCCAUGCCGCGUGUAUGAAGAAGGCCCUAGGGUUGUAAAGUACUGUCAGUAGAGAGGCGGUAUCGACAGAAGAAGCCCCGGCUAACUACGUGCCAGCCGCCGCGGUAAUUC